rnacentral:rRNA from 1 species
GAUGAACGCUGGCGGCGUGCCUAAUACAUGCAAGUCGAGCGAACAGAUGAGGAGCUUGCUCCUCUGACGUUAGCGGCGGACGGGUGAGUAACACGUGGAUAACCUACCUAUAAGACUGGGAUAACUUCGGGAAACCGGAGCUAAUACCGGAUAAUAUAUUGAACCGCAUGGUUCAAUAGUGAAAGACGGUUUUGCUGUCACUUAUAGAUGGAUCCGCGCCGCAUUAGCUAGUUGGUAAGGUAACGGCUUACCAAGGCAACGAUGCGUAGCCGACCUGAGAGGGUGAGCGGCCACACUGGAACUGAGACACGGUCCAGACUCCUACGGGAGGCAGCAGUAGGGAAUCUUCCGCAAUGGGCGAAAGCUUGACGGAGCAACGCCGCGUGAGUGAUGAAGGUCUUCGGAUCGUAAAACUCUGUUAUUAGGGAAGAACAAAUGUGUAAGUAACUAUGCACGUCUUGACGGUACCUAAUCAGAAAGCCACGGCUAACUACGU